GCCGAACUGAGUACAAGGCUUAAGGUUUUCCUCUCCAAAAAUUUCCCGUUAGUCCGCCAUCCGAAUUUGACGGACUCUUAUAUGCGACAGUUAGAAGAUAUUUUUGGGUGUAACUGUAAAUUCCUCCUCUUGACAGGGAGAAGUGGAACUUUCACCACAAUAAUGUAAUCAAACCAAUGCCGUUUGUUCCUAGCGGAAAAAAUUUGCAAGCAGAAUGAUGUUGGUAAAAAUUGAAACUGUUUUUGUAACAAAGAAGUUUGUUUUGGAUUAGAAGUCUUAUAGCGUGAACCAAGCAUCCGGACUCUUGGUUUGUUAUAUACGCGGCUAACGCUUUUCGCCUGGUUCUUUUAUUCAGAUGAGCGUGCCCUAAUAUGUACCAUAGCCAUAAUGUUAAUCGAUAGCAGUUAAUAUUACAUAUUUGCAAAUGUGCUCCUAGAAGGAAUAAAUUCUGUCGAGUUUUGUUUCCUCAAUACAAAUUAAUUUUGAGAAAAAAUUUAAUAAAAAAAAAA